CAUCUCUACACCAGGAAUUUAUGUCUUCACUGUAUUGAAUGGCCUACAAGGUUUUCUUAUAUUCCUGUGGUGUCUUGCUUUGAGAUCUAAGUCUAAAUCUGAGACUAAUUCUUCAGUCAGAGACCAAUCAUCAUCACAAAAAAUGAUUGACACCAGUCUAUGACAGCUAGUUGAAGAAAUUUUACAUGGACUUAUUUACUGAACUUUGUAACUGAGACAAUCCUAAAUCCUUGUUUGCUGCUAUUCGUAAUUAUAGGGGGAUACCUAAAAUAAGUCUGUUCAAAAGAGAAUUAUUUUUCCUCUUUUUCAACUGAAAUAAUUUCUUCUGUCAGACUAGUGUUUGUUUGUUGGGGUCGUACCUUGACAUGUUUGUCUGCAGUCAUCCUCAGAAGAGUCAUAAGAUGUUCUUGUUAUGCAGGGUGAUCCUUCCCCCAGAGUCCUCUUUGUAGUACUCUCCCAUAGUGGCCUGCUCUGAGGCAGAUGGGUCCUGCUAACGUCAUGUGCAUGGGAGCGCAUUAUGAACAAACUUGGGAGUGAGUGAGAAAAGAGCAAAGUAAAUAGGCCUGUUACUUAUCAUGGUCAAAAUCAGGCAUAUAAGAAUUAAUGUCAAUGCAUCUAUUUAUUAGUAAAAUUAAUUAAUCAUCA